rfam:Endocarpon pusillum Z07020 unplaced genomic scaffold C720841, whole genome shotgun sequence.
GCUCUUCUAGCUCAGUGGUAGAGCGUGGGAUUGCAGAUCCUAAGGUCACUCGUUCGACCCGGGUGGGGAGCU